AUGGCAAUCCGUCUCCUAUCGCGUCAAAAUCUGAGGAAGCUGGCCGCUUCCCUCACACUCCUUACUCCAUCCCAGAAGAUACUACUUUCGCCUUCCCAUCUGGCUCUUAGUUUCAGGGCAGGGAGCGCCGCGGGUUGCUCAAGGCGGCUCUACUGGCGUGCUUGCUCGUCGUUUGCUCCGGGAGAGGUGCCUCAUGUGGAUUUUUGUUCAGUAAGAUCGACCUGA
rnacentral:rRNA from 1 species